GCUUGUCUCAAAGAUUAAGCCAUGCAUGUCUAAGUAUAAGCCUUUACACGGUGAGACUGCGAAUGGCUCAUUAAAUCAGAAACUGUUUAUUUGAUAGUGCCUACUACUUGGAUAACCGUAGUAAUUCUAGAGCUAAUACAUGCAAAAAGCCUGGACUUCUGGAACAGGCGUAUUUAUUAGAUAUACAAACCAACCGCUUCGGCGACCUUGGGUGACUCAUAAUAACUUUGCGAAUCGCAUAGCUUUAAUGCUGGCGAUGGGUCAUUCAAAUUUCUGCCCUAUCAACUUUCGACGGUAGGAUAGAGGCCUACUGUGGUGAUAACGGGUAACGAAGAAUAAGGGUUCGAUUUCGGAGAGGGAGCCUGAGAAACGGCUACCACAUCCAAGGAAGGCAGCAGG
rnacentral:rRNA from 1 species